CCUACGGGAGGCUGCAGUGAGGAAUAUUGGUCAAUGGCCGGAAGGCUGAACCAGCCAAGCCGCGUGAAGGACGAAGGUGCCAAGCAUUGUAAACUUCUUUUGUCAAGGGACAAAAUCAGGCUCGAGAGCCUGACCGAGGGUACUUGAAGAAAAAGCAUCGGCUAACUCCGUGCCAGCAGCCGCGGUAAUACGGAGGAUGCGAGCGUUAUCCGGAUUUAUUGGGUUUAAAGGGUGCGCAGGCGGGAGAUCAAGUCAGCGGUAAAAUGUCGGGGCUCAACCCCGGCCGGCCGUUGAAACUGGUUUUCUAGAGUUGGAGAGAAGUAUGCGGAAUUCGUGGUGUAGCGGUGAAAUGCAUAGAUAUCACGAAGAACUCCGAUUGCGAAGGCAGCAUACCGGCUCCAUACUGACGCUGAGGCACGAAAGCGUGGGGAUCGAACAGGAUUAGAUACCCUUGUAGUC
rnacentral:rRNA from 1 species